GUCUGGCAGGCAGCUUAGCCCUACGUGGAGUGGGAGUGGCGUCAAAAUUCAAAGGAACUGCCGCAGUUGGAGGCGUUGUACCACCUGCUUCGAGACGGUUGGCGGCCUGGAGUGGCCUUGACCUCACCCCAAGUCUAACCCGGGUGGCAGCCGCUCUGCCGAAGGGACCUUGGAGGACAGAACUACACCGGUGAAACGGAAAAGCCACGCGUUUAUCCUUCGUGCACUCUGGGGACGCCGCUGGUCUGCAGAGAGCCACGCUGUCCGGUGCUCCCUAUCCAAUGCCUGCUUGGGCGCCCAGCCAGGUCCAACCUCCAACCCAGCCCCACCCAUCCCACUACCAGACUUUGGGGACAAUUAUACUGUCAGUAUCCUCAGAAGUCAUUCUGCUUCACAGAGGAGGCAGCAGGUCAAAAGCCACCAAUUGGCCUUUAUUUAUUUUACGGCAAGAUUGAUUUAUUUUGUGCUGGGAUUUGAAUUCAGGACCUUUGGGAGAGCAGUCAGUGCUCUUACCCGCUGAGCCAUCUUACCAGCCCCACACCAAAGUCUUUGACCUUCCCGAAGCAAUCAGUAAGAAACUUCCAUCAACUCUGACCAGACAGAAUUUCAGAAUUACUGCAAACAGGGCUAGUGAGAUGACUCACUGGAUAAGGGUGCUUGCCAUGAAAAUGAGGCGAACUCAGUUCAAUCCCUGAAACGCAUGUAGAGAUGGAAGGGAGAAUACACUCCACAGAGCUGUCCUCUGAUCACCAUAUGUGCACCGUGGCAUGCAGGUCAACACACACAUCAUGCACACAUGCAGUAGUAAUGAUAGUAAGUGAAUAAAAGCCGUUUGGGUAAGAACAUCACAUAAGGUUUGCCAUAGAUAGAAGGUAGGGAAUAGAAUGACAUAUGGUAAAAGCUUGUCACAGAAUCUGGUUAAGGACUGUGCCUCUGGGCUACAUUUCAAGCCUGUGGUCUUAAUUUGGUUCUCUUUACAUCUAUGUGCUCAGGUACACACGUGCAUGCAGAGGCUGAAGGCCUUAGGUGUUAUCCUCAGGAGCACCAUUUAUUCCCUUUGAGAUAGGGCCUCUUACUGAUCUGGAGCUCAGGAAUCAGGCUAGACUGGCUGAGCACAAGUCUAGGAGAUCUUUCUGUUUCUGCCUUCCAGCUCAGAAAUUAUAAGCAUGGGCCAGCCACAUUUAACAUCAUCUUUAUGUGGCUAUGGGAAUCAAUCUGGAGUCCCUGGGCUUGCAAAGCCAACGCUUUGUUGAGCCAUCUCCAUAGCCACAGUAUUAGCUUUUUAAGGUCAUUAGAUGAAUGCUUUCUUCAAAAUGAUUUCUAGUAUGUAUUUUUGAUCUUACGUGUUAGCUUUCAUCACAAUAACAAGAGAAUUCAGAUCAGUGGUUCUCAACCUGUGAGUGGAGACGCCAUUGACAAACCUAUAGCUACAAAAAUAUUUACAUUAUGACGUAUAACUAGGAAAUUAUGAAUUAGCAGUGAAGAUAAUUUUAUGGUUGGAGGAGCCCUACAACCUGAGGAACUGUAUCAAAAGGCUGCAGAACGGGGAAGGGCUGGAGGCUAUUUUGGAAGUGCCUAGCAGAGCAAAAGCACUCACCUCAUGGCCAGGAAAUGAAAACAAAGAGAAAGAAACCAGAGCUCCAGAGUCUCCUUCAAGAGUGCGCCUCCACUGACCUGACCGCCUUGUCAGCUGCUUCUUAAAGUUUCUACCACAGGGCUGGCGAAUGUUCACUGUCAACUUGAUUUCCCACAUGGUAUCCGUGUUCCAGAAUCCAGAGAAUCGUGGAUCUCCAGCUCUCUGGUGUGAUUGCCAUCACCAUAUUCAUUAAAAUUGAACCACAGAGGCAAUUCCCUCCAAAAUGACUGUUCCUGAUCUAUUAAGGAUUGUGUGCCUGCAAUAUAAAUGGGCUGGAAGGUUCACUGUUGGAAAGACUCUUUCCAUCUUUACCUGUGUCAUUUGCAGCACCAUACGAUAUAUGUCUAUUGGUCUCUAAAUCAUCCAGAGAAAGCCAGGCCAUUGUGACAUAUAUAAUAUAAGCUAAUCCUGACAAUACUUUCUUUCUUAUAAUUGCAGAUGGCUUCCACCCUGAUAGAGAGUGAUUUAGCCAAGGUGGGAGACACAGAUAUGGAAAAAGAACAGAAAGCUCUCGAUAGUAAAGAGAAUUUUCCUGGUAACAGAAUGCCCUGAGGAGAUCAACAGAAAGGGGCUCAUGAAGCAGUUGGGUUGUACAUUCUGCUUGCCAGGCUGAGGCAGUGGGAAAGGCAUCAGUGAGAUGUAGAAGCCAUGGAAGUACAGUACUGGGAACUAAGAAAAGCAUCAAACACUGUUUCUCCUGAGUAUGAAUCAAUGGAGAGUAUAUUCCCCAAAGUCUUUUGUGAAACCCCUGCAGUGGGGUCAGGUUUUCCUUUAUUGAGAGCGGUCGAUGUAUUAUUUUUAGCCCCACCAACAUCUUCCUAUGAUGAAGAUUAUUAUACACCCAUAAAAAGAAAGAAGAGGAAAAAGAGGAGGCGCUACUACUAAUUAAAAGCCUCCAUUAUACUCCGGUGCCUCUGUGGCAAGCCAGGAGGGUUCUCCAGGAUUGAACUACAACUGCCUGGUGUCUGCUUGCCCAGAGGACUGGUAUGCAGCUGAUGAAUCAUAUUUGGUGUUUGCUACAGGAACAAACUGCUGCAAAGAAGAUCAAGCUCGCCCCCAAAGAUCUAUUUCUGUUCAGGCCUCUGGGGCUGCCCUGCUUUUUGCUCUGCCUGAAGAUUCUGUUUUGUUCAGUGCAGCUUGCAUUGAACCUCUGUGUGCAGAGGUUGGUGAGAGAGAACUCUCAGGAAUAACUCCUGCAGUGAGGGAAGGAAACAGGACUGAGCAGAUAGACUUGGAAUGAGGUCAAGGUCCUUGUACCUCUACACUAUUCAGGCUUCAGGAGCAGGCUGCCAUCAAGAAGAGGCUGAAACCUAGGGAAAGAUGCCUCUCUAUCCAUGGGCAUAUGAUGUGUUGGACCUCAGCUCUGAGUAGUCAGUAGCCAACAUCCUGGUCAGCGAGGAAAGCCUAGCCCUGUCUCUAGGAAGAAUGCGAAUCACAUCACCCUAGCCUUCAUUCAAGGUCUCCUCACUGAAGCUGGAUCAAGGUUUGGAGGCAACUGGGCCCACAUUCUCCUUUCUCUGCAACUGCCUAUGCUGGAGUAUGGAUGCACAUGGCAACUCCUGGUAUUUUGAAGUGCCUAGGAUUCCAAAACAAAUCACUAAUGUGUGUACAGCAAGUGUUUCCACAUGCUGAGCCUCUGUGCACCUUGUAGCUUACUUUACACAACCAUUUCAGGUGAACAUUCAUGUUCCUCUAGAUUAUUGCUUAAAGUUAGAGCAUGACACGUUUCAUAACUGUGAAUAAAAAGGAAUAAAAUCAAUUUAAAAUUUUAU
rnacentral:lncRNA from 1 species